GAGUUUGAUCAUGGCUCAGAGCGAACGCUGGCGGCGUGCCUAACACAUGCAAGUCGAACGUGAACGGCUUCGGCCUAGUAAAGUGGCGUACGGGUGAGUAACGCGUAGGUAAUCUACCCCAAAAUCUGGAAUAACCGGCCGAAAGGCUGGCUAAUACUGGAUAGAGCGACGGAACUCGUAAUCGGGUUUUUCGGGAAAGGGAGCCGGCAACGGCCCUCGUUUUGGGAUGAGCCUGCGUCUCAUUAGCUAGUUGGUAAGGUAAUGGCUUACCAAGGCUUUGAUGGGUAGCUGGUCUGAGAGGAUGAUCAGCCACACUGGAACUGAAACACGGUCCAGACUCCUACGGGAGGCAGCAGUGGGGAAUCUUGCGCAAUGGACGAAAGUCUGACGCAGCCACGCCGCGUGAGUGAAGAAGGCC
rnacentral:rRNA from 1 species